rnacentral:rRNA from 1 species
GACGAACGCUGGCGGCGUGCUUAACACAUGCAAGUCGAACGAUGAACCCGGAGCUUGCUCCGGUGGAUUAGUGGCGAACGGGUGAGUAACACGUGAGUAACCUGCCCUUGACUCUGGGAUAACUGCGGGAAACUGUAGCUAAUCCCGGAUACGACCCUCGGCGGCAUCGCCAGGGGGUGGAAAGAAUUUCGGUCAAGGAUGCAGUCGCGGCCUAUCAGCAAGUUGGUAAGGUAACGGCUCACCAAGGCGACGACGGGUAGCCGGCCCGAGAGCAUGAACAGCCACACGGGCACUGAGACACGGGCCCGACUCCUACGGGAGGCAGCAGUAAGGAAUAUUGGUCAAUGGACGAAAGUCUGAACCAGCCAUGCAGCGUGAAGGAUUAAGGUCCUCUGGAUUGUAAACUUCUUUUAUAUGGGACGAAAAAAGGUCUUUCUAGAUCACUUGACGGUACCAUAUGAAUAAGCACCGGCUAACUCCGUGCCAGCAGCCGCCGUAAAAC